UACGUAGGGGGCAAGCGUUGUCCGGAAUCAUUGGGCGUAAAGAGCGUGUAGGCGGCCAGGUAGGUCUGCUGUGAAAACUCGAGGCUCAACCUCGAGACGUCGGUUGAAACCGUCUGGCUAGAGUCCGGAAGAGGAGACUGGAAUUCCUGGUGUAGCGGUGGAAUGCGCAGAUAUCAGGAGGAACACCGGUGGCGAAGGCGGGUCUCUGGGCAGUAACUGACGCUGAGGAGCGAAAGCGUGGGGGAGCGAACAGG
rnacentral:rRNA from 1 species